rnacentral:lncRNA from 10 species
GUCCAGCCUGCUCACACACUUUGGUAAUGUACAUUUUGGAAGCAGCCCCCAGCAGUGGGACUGAAUUGUCAAAAGAUUUUUGCCAAAUUGCUUAAAGAGUUAGGCGUUUAUGAAUUAAUGAUGAUGAGUUUUGAUUGCAGGCCCUGACCAACCCAAAGAGCAAACAGUUUGAAAAGUCAGCUUGAAAAGUCUGCAGGCUGUUUUUGGCCAGCCUCCUUGAGGUGUUGAAAAUAUCAGACUUCUUUGGCAGAUGGGAGGAGUCUUAUAGGACUCAGGAAUUGUCAUCACUGGUGAAAAGAGAUGCUUCCCCUUCUGCAAUGAAAGACAGAAGUGAAAGCUGAGCUGUG